ensembl:lncRNA
CUUUCUCUUUCUUUAUUUUUCUUCCUUUUUUCCUUCCUUCUUUCUUUCUUUCUUUCUCUCUUUCUUUCUCUCUUUCUUUCUCUCUCUCUUUCUUUCUUUCUUUCUUUCUUUCUUUCUUUCUUUCUUUCUUUCUUUCUCUCUCUCUCUCUCUCUCUCUCUCUCUCUUUCUUUCUUUCUUUCUUUCUUUCUUUCUCUCUCUCUCUCUCUCUCUCUUUCUUUCUUUCUUUCUUUCUUUCUUUCUUUCUUUCUUUCUUUCCUUCUUUCCUUCCUGUCUUCUCUCUCUCUCUCUCUCUCUCUCCCUCUCUUCUUUCUUUCUUUCCUUCUUUCUUUCUCUUCUUCUUCUUCUUCCUCUCUCUCUUCUUCUUCUUCUUUCUUUCUUUCUUUCUUCUUUCUUCUUUCUUCUUCUUCUUCUUCUCUCUCUCUCUCUCUCUCUCUCUCUCUCUCUCUCUCUCUCUCUCUCUCCCCCCCCCUCUCACACACACACAUGUUUAAGAAACACUUCCUAACAUUCAUAAAUUAGCUUUCUGAAACAGUUUCUAUUUCUGUUAAGGUUAUAUAUGGGGUAAAAAAACAAAGUUUAACAAUUAAGAAUUUGGUUUGGCUUCUAAGUACACAUCUAUGAAGCCUGAUGAAAUGGCCAAGGCUCUUUUAGUCCUCAACAGGAUCUCUCUGCCUUUCAUUUAGAGUUAGAGAAAAAAAUAUAUGGGCAGUCUUCCUUUCUAUAGAUUCUCCUGUAUAAGAAGAGCAGUUUCUAGUUCUAAUUAAAAAUAUGUUAUCAUUAACUCUGGGCACUAAGAGUAAGCCCAGACAUUUAAGCAUCUUUUUUUUUUCAUUUUAAAUAGUAUAUCACAUACUGUAGCAGAAAUUUUUUCUUUAUAGACUCUAUUUUUUAAAACUCACAAAAACCCAAACCUCACAGCAACUUUGACAGAUAUAUUCAUGAUCAAAACAGUUCAGAAAUAUAAGAUCUUAAAAUGGGCAAAGGGCAGCAGGUUUUUGAAUAGGCUUCAUCAGUGGAGGGGAGAGGUCAGCGGUGGAGAUUAGUUAUAGGAGCUAUUAAGUCUCCUCUGUGACAUCCACAGCGCUAGCUGCUUAACAUAAUCAGCUGCAAUCAGCAAAAAUGCUGUUUAUUACAAAACGUUUUUCUUUUUUAAUAUUUUACAUUGUUAUGUAAAAUGGUGCAGUGUAGGGACACACACAUUUCACCAGGUACAAAUUGGACAAAUUGUGGGCAAUAAUAAUUUGUGGCACUUCUCAUGACAUCUUUUGAAGUUAAAAAUUGUUGAGAGAUACCUCUCCAAAGCUAUUUUCUCUAAUAUGGUUAAUGGUUUGCACUGGAGUUGGCAAUCCACUCCUGGUACAAUGUCGUUACCAUUUAUUGGAUGGGAGAAAAUGUUUGUGGGAUCGGAUAUCAAUCAGGGAAGUCUGCAAUUUGGGAUGAUGUACAGGGUUCUGAUCACCCUUAAUGUCUCUAGGCAUGAAAACCAGCUAAGAAGGGUUUACCUCUCCACCCCACCCCCAGUCUUCUCCAAUCCACAGAAACGUUUUAUGUUCAAGUAACAGAAAGCCUAACAGUGGACCAUUACAGAUUUGCCAUGAAUUGUACUCAUCAGUAACCCAGACCAGCCAAAUGACAGAAAACAGCCCAAGUGGGAAGAUUGGACUACCUUUCUCAAUAUUUGCCUAGUGAUUUGUGAGAGAAGCUGUACUUUUCUUUUUUCCCUUUUUCCCUUUAAACCCUUACCUUCUGUCUUAGAAUCAAAACUAAGUACCAGUUCCAAUGCAGGACAGUAAGGGCUAGGCAGUUGGGAUUAAAUGACUUGCCCAGGAUCACACAGCUAGGAAGAAAAUGUCCUUUUCUGAUGGAAAUGAGGAGACGAGGCAGUUGUUUGCUAGUCUCCUAGUCUAUCUCAAGUGGUACCCUUCCCUCUAAGGAUGUCCCACAGGACAUUAUCAAUCCCAGUGAGCUCUGAUUCCUUUCAUCUGAUUUCUACGGGCUGGUUGAUUGGCUGUUGUACUUUGUACUUGAAGAGGACCCAGUGAUACCACUGGUGACGUCGUUUGACUCAUACAUAAAUUGGAUUUAAGUGAGGCAGAGCUGCACAAAGUCAUCAGCCUCAUUCUAUCUUCUAGAGUCUUCGAAGUCCAGUGGCAAGGCAAAAGCCAGGAUGAUUGGCAAUGGUUCUGGAUGCACUGGAUGGCCUUGGCAUCUUCCAACGUUUUAUCAAACUCUAAAUGCUCCACAGCACCUGCUUCCGCUGACUUCAUGGUCAUUGGAACAAAUUGUUCUCAUCCGCUCCUUCUCUUUCUGAGAGUUACCCUGACAGGGACGUUCUAGUCACUGGCCAAAUAACUUGAGAAUUUUCUAUGCCAACUGGAAAGCAGUACACACUGUGAAUAAAGCUAAACUUUUGUUUUUAAAUAUAUUCUGA